rnacentral:misc_RNA from 1 species
GAUGAAGAACGUAGUGAAAUGCGAUAAGUAAUGUGAAUUGCAGAAUUCAGUGAACCAUCGAGUCUUUGAACGCAAGUUGCGCCCGAAGCCACUAGGCCGAGGGCACGCCUGCCUGGGCGUCACACGUCGUUCCCCCCCCAUCUACUCCUUCGGGAUUGCAGGGGGCGGAUGAUGGCCUCCCGUGCGCCUCGCCGCGCGGUUGGCAUAAAUACCAAGUCCUCGACGACGCACGCCACGACAAUCGGUGGUUGCGAAACCUCGGUUGCCCGUCGUGUGCGUUCGUCGCGCAUCGAGGGCUCGAAAAAAUGCUCGGCUCCGGCUCGGCUUUCAACGCGACCCCAGGUCAGGCGGGGUUACCCGCUGAAUUUAAGCAUAUCAAUAAGCGGAGGA